rnacentral:misc_RNA from 1 species
AAGAAUAGUUGGGACAAUUUAUCUAGAGAGGCAGAAAUAUGAUCUGGAGGAUUAAAAGAGUCGUAAUUUAAGAAGAUCGAGUUUGAGAGAUGGACAAUAUAAAAUUAAAAGUAUAAAAAUUUUCAAAUGCCAAUUAAUAGGAGCACUGUGCAAUGUGCAUCUGCAAAUGUGUGUGGUUAUGCAUAUAAGCUUGGUUGAACGUUACCAAUAGAUGGGUAAGAAU